rnacentral:rRNA from 1 species
CAGCAGCCGCGGGAAUACGAAGGGGGCUAGCGUUGCUCGGAAUGACUGGGCGUAAAGGGCGCGUAGGCGGAUGGCACAGUCAGAUGUGAAAUUCCCGGGCUUAACCUGGGGGCUGCAUUUGAUACGUGUUGUCUAGAGUGAGGAAGAGGGUCGUGGAAUUCCCAGUGUAGAGGUGAAAUUCGUAGAUAUUGGGAAGAACACCGGUGGCGAAGGCGGCGACCUGGUCCUUUACUGACGCUGAGGCGCGAAAGCGUGGGGAGCAAACAGGAUUAGAUACCCGGGUAGUCCCUGUCUCUUAUAA